rnacentral:rRNA from 1 species
AUUGAACGCUGGCGGCAGGCCUAACACAUGCAAGUCGAGCGAGCGGCGGACGGGUGAGUAAUGUCUGGGAAACUGCCUGAUGGAGGGGGAUAACUACUGGAAACGGUAGCUAAUACCGCAUACCCUCAGAUGUGCCCAGAUGGGAUUAGCUAGUUGGUGGGGUAAUGGCUCACCAAGCCGAAGAUCCCUAGCUGGUCUGAGAGGAUUACCAGCCACACUGGAACUGAGACACGGUCCAGACUCCUACGGGAGGCAGCAGUGGGGAAUAGUGGACAAUGGGCGAAAGCCUGAUCCAGCCAUGCCGCGUGUAUGAAGAAGGUCUUCGGGUUGUAAAGCACUUUAAGUUGGGAGGCGUUACCAACAGAAGAAGCACCGGCUAACUUCGUGCCAGCAGCCGCGGUAAUAC